AGCAACAAAUAUCUACUGUAGAUCACCAAUAGACCAGCAACACUUUAAUAUUUUUCAGUGUGAGUAUUUCUAUGAAGUCAAGCCAAAUUCACGUGGCUGUGGACCUCAGAGGACUCAAAUUAGAUGCACCCUGUAGGGCAAUAAAGGAAUAAACACCUUCUACUUGGGCUUUAUGUAGAAUUUUGUUUAAUUCAGACUGUGAUCAAUAUGAAUAAAGAAGCAAUCUCUGACGGACUCAGGUGUGGCCUAUCUGGUACCUUACACGGCAGCUGUCAAAUUAAACGUCACAGUUACUCACCCAAGAAAAUACACUUGUACACAAUCCAAAUAAACUCGUAAACUGGUAUUCAUCACUUUGAUACAGAGGUGUGUCUCAACGCUUUUAAAAAGACCUAAAUUUUAUGAAAGCUAUUUACUGGAGGUUGCUACCUUCCAACUAGAAAGGAUAAAUAAGAAAGUAAAAGUAAAUGUUCUAAUAUGACCAGAACACCUUACUAAAAACAUUAAUGCAUAAACUGAAAUUCAUAUAUCUAAAAAAGUCCAAUAUUAAUAGUCCAAAAGUAUAGAUAUAUAUUUAUUAAAAACAUGUUUCAAAACACUUCUUUAAAGCAAUAAUGCUUAUAAGUUCCCUUCUUCCAAAUAUUCAGUAUUACAAAAUUUGGAAAUGCCACUUACAUAGAAGUACAGAGAAUUUAACUGAAAGGACUUGUUUGCUGGAAAUGAUACCAAAAAUAAAUUUGAAUUUACAGUAGGUAUUCAUCAAAAUCUAAUCAUAAAAUACUUAACAAAUUAAAUACAAAAAGCCUGCUUCCAAGAGCAGGCUGUGGUAGGUGUGUGCAUUUGCUUAAGGAGACAAUGCAUGCAGCUGGUGUAACCUUCAGUAAGUUUCGACCAAAGCCUGAUGGCUACCCGUUCUAUUUCAUACAGGGCAAUUAUAGCAAAUGGUUUUCGGGCUUAACAUUCUGCCAUUUCUUUUUCUUUCUGGAAUGUAAUCAACAAGAUAUUAAGAUUGCUUCUGCUUAGCUUUUCUUUAUCUUCACAUUUACAGAAAAAAAUAAUCAUAAUGCAUUUAGUGAAAAGCAUGAGUAAAAAAAGACCUGAUGUUUAGUAGAAUUUUUCUGACAAUUACUUUAACAAAUGACAUAUUCAUAGCUUUCAUACAUAAUGAAAUGUUAGUCCUUUCAUAAUAAAAUACAAAAUCUUAAUUAUGCUUCUCAUUUUCUAUAAUUCCUAGAUUUUUCAGUAUGUACUAUACUAACAUAUGAAAAUCAGUUUGAAGUGCUUUUGUAUGUUCAAUAAGAUAAAACUACAACAGCUCCAUGAAUGUCAUGUUAUUCUAAAACCUAAUGCUCACACAGGCACAUACUAUAAUAAGCAUAGGGUACAGAGUUAACAAACCUUGUGCUUAAAUUCAUAUACUGAAUUAUUUAAAAAGUUAACUCACAUAUCCUAAUGCACUUUUAAAUUACAUUCUACAACAACUAUACAUGCAGUUCCUCUCAGUACACCUACAGUAGUUGAUGUUGAGUGCAGGCUGCUCCUUUACAAUGCUGCCUCUACGUGCCCACUGUCACUCUUUUGGACCAACAGCACAUCUCCAGAAUCAAAGCGUCUGGAAACUAUGAGUGCUCUGGAGGAGCCCUGCUCUUUCCUGAGCCUCUGAAUUAUCCCAUGUAAAUGGAGUUAGGGUGCCAGCACUCACCCCACCUCUGGCAUGAGACCACAGAACAUCUCAUUAUAUCCUCCAAGAUCACCUCUCUUUUUCUUCUCCCCCUCUUGCUUAAUUUUGUCAUCACUACAUUUACCACCAUGUAACAUAAAAUGUUAUAUUUAUCAGUUCACCUCCUCAAAUGGAAGCUCUAUGAAAGCAGAGGUCGAGUCUCUUUUAUCUACUGCUGUUAUUAUUCCAGCCACUACAAAUGCCUGGUGCAUCAUAACUAUUAAAAAUAACAACAACAACAACAAAAAAC